AUCCAGCUGACGAGUCUCAAAUGGGACGAAAAUCGUGUCUUGGAU
rnacentral:hammerhead_ribozyme from 1 species